UAUUUUAUAUUAUAUUCAUAUUUUUAUUGAUAAAUAACUUUUAGGGCUGUUGAUUUUAGUGAUGCAUAUCUUGAUUCUAAAAGCCUGGAGGCUGUUGGAUGCAACGAAUUUAACAAUUCCAAAGAUACAAAUGAUUUCGACGGUGCACAUUCUGAUUUAAAAAGUCUAUACACUUCCAGUCUGGUCAGGCAGUCAAUUUUCAGUCUAUAAAUUUGUAUACACCACAUCAAAUGCUGUACACAGUGAAUUGUCAGUUAAAAAAAACGAUGGAAUUUUACCCGAUCCAAUUUAUUUGAUGUUUCAACUGAUUCAGAAAAAUUUAUUUAAAAGAAAUAUAUAACUUUAUAUUA